ACUUAAAUUGAAGAGUUUGAUCAUGGCUCAGAUUGAACGCUGGCGGCAGGCCUAACACAUGCAAGUCGAGCGGUAGCACAGAGAGCUUGCUCUCGGGUGACGAGCGGCGGACGGGUGAGUAAUGUCUGGGAAACUGCCUGAUGGAGGGGGAUAACUACUGGAAACGGUAGCUAAUACCGCAUAAUGUCGCAAGACCAAAGUGGGGGACCUUCGGGCCUCAUGCCAUCAGAUGUGCCCAGAUGGGAUUAGCUAGUAGGUGGGGUAACGGCUCACCUAGGCGACGAUCCCUAGCUGGUCUGAGAGGAUGACCAGCCACACUGGAACUGAGACACGGUCCAGACUCCUACGGGAGGCAGCAGUGGGGAAUAUUGCACAAUGGGC
rnacentral:rRNA from 1 species